UGAACAAGAGGAGCCCCUGAAGGAAAGUGAAAGGGAAGAUUCCAUGGAAGGAAAGGAGGAGCACACGAAGAAACGGAGCCAAUGAAGGUCUUGAAAACCACAUAGCACAGUUCAGGCUACUGGAAGAAACUCAAAGUUUGAGUGAUGCUGUAAAGCAGACGAGCAACCAAGGAUUUUGGGACUUGAGUGAAUUUUCUUGGAUCAGACCCAGAGGGAAGAAAAUGAUGUGAUC